AUUGAACGCUGGCGGCAUGCCUUACACAUGCAAGUCGAACGGUAACAGGUCUUCGGAUGCUGACGAGUGGCGAACGGGUGAGUAAUACAUCGGAACGUGCCCGAUCGUGGGGGAUAACGGAGCGAAAGCUUUGCUAAUACCGCAUGCGAUCUACGGAUGAAAGCAGGGGACCGCAAGGCCUUGCGCUCACGGAGCGGCCGAUGGCAGAUUAGGUAGUUGGUGGGAUAAAAGCUUACCAAGCCGACGAUCUGUAGCUGGUCUGAGAGGACGACCAGCCACACUGGGACUGAGACACGGCCCAGACUCCUACGGGAGGCAGCAGUGGGGAAUUUUGGACAAUGGGCGCAAGCCUGAUCCAGCCAUGCCGCGUGCAGGAUGAAGGCCUUCGGGUUGUAAACUGCUUUUGUACGGAACGAAAAGACUCUGGUUAAUACCUGGGGUCCAUGACGGUACCGUAAGAAUAAGCACCGGCUAACUACGUGCCAGCAGCCGCAGUAAGAC
rnacentral:rRNA from 1 species